UACGAAGGGGGCUAGCGUUGCUCGGAAUUACUGGGCGUAAAGCGCACGUAGGCGGAUCUUUAAGUCAGGGGUGAAAUCCUGGAGCUCAACUCCAGAACUGCCUUUGAUACUGAGGACCUUGAGUUCGGGAGAGGUGAGUGGAACUGCGAGUGUAGAGGUGAAAUUCGUAGAUAUUCGCAAGAACACCAGUGGCGAAGGCGGCUCACUGGCCCGAUACUGACGCUGAGGUGCGAAAGCGUGGGGAGCAACAGG
rnacentral:rRNA from 1 species